GCACCUCUUGGUUAGCGGCGGACGGGUGAGUAACACGUGGGCAACCUGCCUGUAAGACUGGGAUAACCUCGGGAAACCGGAGCUAAUACCGGAUAAUCCUUUUCCUCUCAUGAGGAAAAGCUGAAAGUCGGUUUACGCUGACACUUACAGAUGGGCCCGCGGCGCAUUAGCUAGUUGGUGAGGUAACGGCUCACCAAGGCGACGAUGCGUAGCCGACCUGAGAGGGUGAUCGGCCACACUGGGACUGAGACACGGUCCAAACUCAUACGGGAGGCAGCAGUAGGGAAUCUUCCGCAAUGGACGAAAGUCUGACGGAGCAACGCCGCGUGAGCGAUGAAGGCCUUCGGGUCGUAAAGCUCUGUUGUUAGGGAAGAACAAGUACCGGAGUAACUGCCGGUACCUUGACGGUACCUAACCAGAAAGCCACGGCUAACUACGUGCCAGCAGCCGCGGUAAUACGUAGGUGGCAAGCGUUGUCCGGAAUUAUUGGGCGUAAAGCGCGCGCAGGCGGUCCUUUAAGUCUGAUGUGAAAGCCCACGGCUCAACCGUGGAGGGUCAUUGGAAACUGGGGGACUUGAGUACAGAAGAGGAAAGCGGAAUUCCACGUGUAGCGGUGAAAUGCGUAGAGAUGUGGAGGAACACCAGUGGCGAAGGCGGCUUUCUGGUCUGUAACUGACGCUGAGGCGCGAAAGCGUGGGGAGCAAACAGGAUUAGAUACCCUGGUAGUCCACGCCGUAAACGAUGAGUGCUAAGUGUUAGAGGGUUUCCGCCCUUUAGUGCUGCAGCUAACGCAUUAAGCACUCCGCCUGGGGAGUACGGCCGCAAGGCUGAAACUCAAAGGAAUUGACGGGGGGCCCGCACAA
rnacentral:rRNA from 1 species